CAAUAUGAAAUCAACAUUUUGAUGUGGAAAUUAAACAAACCACACUGACGGAAAAGUAAACUUAGCAUGAAAAGAUGGGUAAUGUAUCGCACACGAAGAGUUUGUAUGUAGCAACCAUCCGACUGGUAUAGUAAUCAGAACGCAUGCACAAAUUACAAAACGGCUUCAAUUAGAAGUAAAACUUAGAAAUAGUUUGUCAGCAGGGAUUAAAUCAAUCAUUCACUUAUAGCAGAAGACAAGUCAAAUGUAAUUUUGAAUGACACAAGGGGC
rnacentral:lncRNA from 1 species